rfam:Dengue virus type 4 strain ThD4_0476_97, complete genome
AUGAACCAACGGAAAAAGGUGGUUAGACCGCCUUUCAAUAUG